UACGGGGGGGGCAAGCGUUGUUCGGAAUUACUGGGCGUAAAGGGCUCGUAGGCGGCCAACUAAGUCAUACGUGAAAUCCCUCAGCUUAACUGGGGAACUGCGUGUGAUACUGGAUGGCUUGGAUUUGGGAGAGGGAUGCGGAAUUCCAGGUGUAGCGGUGAAAUGCGUAGAUAUCUGGAGGAACACCGGUGGCGAAGGCGGCAUCCUGGACCAAUAUUGACGCUGAGGAGCGAAAGCUAGGGGAGCAAACGGG
rnacentral:rRNA from 1 species